rnacentral:rRNA from 1 species
CUACGGGUUGCAGCAGUCGAGAAUAGUCUACAGAGGACGAAAGUCUGAUAGUGCGACGCCGCGUGGAUGAAGAAGCAUUUCGGUGUGUAAAGUCCUUUUCUGUGUGAGCAAUGUUUUCCAGGUUAAUAGCUUGGAGAAAGCGAUAUUAACACAGGAAUAAGCUCCGGCUAACUCCGUGCCAGCAGCCGCGGUAACACGGGGGGAGCAAGCGUUGUCCGGAAUUACUAGGCGUAAAGGGUAAGUAGGCGGAAUUGUAAGUCAGAUGUUAAAGGCACCGGCUCAACCGGUGUAUGGCAUUUGAUACUGUAAUUCUAGAGUAAGGUGGGGGAAGACGGAAUUCCUGGUGUAGCGGUGGAAUGCGCAGAUAUCAGGAGGAACACCAGAGGCGCAGGCGGUCUUCUAUACCAUUACUGACGCUCAAUUACGAAGGUGUGGGUAUCAAACAGGAUUAGAUACCCCCGUAGUC